rnacentral:rRNA from 1 species
AUGGCGGAUGCGAGGAACAAGUUUGCACAAUCGAAUGAAGACACACCCUUUGGACGACACUUGAAGGAAGUCACUAGGUACAUGAACAUCGGAAUACCAAGCUUCACCGGGACCUACAACGUCACUUUACCAAAAGAGGAGCGCUGGAUGAUCCAAGUUCAAGUUCCAGGAAGGACGUUCAUGCCAGUCACUGAGCCCAUAGAGUUUUCCUUUGACGCACCCACCUGGAGUCUAGGCAAGAGCAUGGCCGCCCACAUCACCAUGGGACACAUUGGAGAAGUUUACCACAUGGAUCUCAAGGAUACUAUUUACCAGAUUUGUGGGCGCCGAAAUGACCAAUGGAAGAUGAUCAGCACCAGGAAGGAUAGAUCUAUUGCAGCUUUUAUCCAGGAGUUAAACCAGCACAUUCGCCGCCAGGAGAACCAGAUGUGCGCAGGCAUGAUAGAUCUGAAGAAGGCAAUGACAAGGAUCACCGAGCUUGAAGAGGAACUCAAGGCUACUCGCGAAGAUUAUGAGGAGGAAAUCAUCGUACUAGUGGAGAAAAAUGACGACCUGACAAGAAAGCUGAGAGUAUUCAUGGGAGACCCUGCACCAGGAGGAGAAGAUGACGAUUCCACCUACCCGGAGAACUAUAUCCUCAUCGACGACACCGACUCGGACCCCGACGAUAGCGAUGAUGACUUUGUUGAUGAAGCUGGAGCAGAUAUUAUGGAGUCUUCUACCGAGCAAUUUUUUCUAGUCGACCACCAUAACAGUAGUAGUAUUCCCCCAUGUAUAUAG